AGCUCCAAUAGCGUAUAUUAAAAUUGUUGCAGUUAAAAAGCUCGUAGUUGGAUUUCUGGCUUGGUGCGCGCCGUCCGCUGCGGUUACGUAGUGUGUGCGGUUGUGCGCCUGCCAUCUUUCUAGACAUCAUGCUGCGCCCUUCACUGGGUGGCAGGUGGUGGCUGGAUCUUUUACUUUGAAAAAAUUAGAGUGUUCAAAGCAGGCUUGCGCUAUGAAUACAUUAGCAUGGAAUAAUAAUUUAGGACUUCUGUUCUAUUUUGUUGGUUUCUAGGAUGGAAGUAAUGAUUGAUAGGGAUAGUUGGGGGUGCUAGUAUUCAGCGGCCAGAGGUGAAAUUCUCGGAUUCGCUGAAGACUAACUUAUGCGAAAGCAUUCACCAAGGAUGUCUUCU
rnacentral:rRNA from 1 species